rnacentral:rRNA from 1 species
UGGGGAAUAUUGGACAAUGGGCGCAAGCCUGAUCCAGCCAUGCCGCGUGAGUGAUGAAGGCCCUAGGGUUGUAAAGCUCUUUCACCGGUGAAGAUAAUGACGGUAACCGGAGAAGAAGCCCCGGCUAACUUCGUGCCAGCAGCCGCGGUAAUACGAAGGGGGCUAGCGUUGUUCGGAUUUACUGGGCGUAAAGCGCACGUAGGCGGACUAUUAAGUCAGGGGUGAAAUCCCGGGGCUCAACCCCGGAACUGCCUUUGAUACUGGUAGUCGUGAGUUCGAGAGAGGUGAGUGGAAUGCCGAGUGUAGAGGUGAAAUUCGUGGAUAUUCGGAGGAACACCAGGGGCGAAGGCGGCUCACUGGCUCGAUACUGACGCUGAGGUGCGAAAGCGUGGGGAGCAAACAGG